AACUCACCCAUGUAUUGUGUGUUUGAUUAUGCUAUGUUUACACUAUUCAGUCGUGUCGUUUAUAUAUCACAGCCGUGUCGUUUAUAUAACUCAGCCAUACCUCAAACAUACCCUAAAAUCAGAAAAUGUUUAGAUAACUCAGCCGUAUCGUUUGUAAAAUCAGCAAUACCUCAAACAUACCCUAAAAUCGGAAAACUGAAUUCAAGUACUUUAAGAAGUUAU
rnacentral:lncRNA from 1 species